GGGCCCGCACAAGCGGUGGAGCAUGUGGUUUAAUUCGAUGCAACGCGAAGAACCUUACCAGGACUUGACAUACUACGAAUUCUUCUGAGAAGAAGAAGUGCCUUCGGGAACGUAGAUACAGGUGGUGCAUGGCUGUCGUCAGCUCGUGUCGUGAGAUGUUGGGUUAAGUCCCGCAACGAGCGCAACCCUUAUUUUUAGUUACUAACUCGUUAGGUUCUCUAGAAAGACUGCCGGUGACAAACCGGAGGAAGGUGAGGAUGACGUCAAGUCAGCAUGCCCCUUAUGUCCUGGGCUACACACGUGCUACAAUGGUUAAGACAAAGAGUCGCGAGCUCGCGAGAGUCAGCUAAUCUCAUAAACUUAGCCUAAGUUCAGAUUGUAGGCUGCAACUCGCCUGCAUGAAGUUGGAAUCGCUAGUAAUCGC
rnacentral:rRNA from 1 species